rnacentral:rRNA from 1 species
UACGAAGGGGGCUAGCGUUGCUCGGAAUUACUGGGCGUAAAGGGCUCGUAGGCGGCCAACUAAGUCAGACGUGAAAUCCCUCAGCUUAACUGGGGAACUGCGUCUGAUACUGGCGAGCUUGAGUGCAGGAGAGGAACGCGGAAUUCCAGGUGUAGCGGUGAAAUGCGUAGAUAUCUGGAGGAACACCGGUGGCGAAGGCGGCGUUCUGGACUGCAACUGACACUGAAAAACGAAAGCCAGGGGAGCAAACGGG